UUCAUAUAUCAUCUCAAUGACAAUUUGUCAUAUAUCAUCUCAAUCACAUGUUUUUACAAGCUAAAAAAUAUGCUGCCCAUUUAUGUCAAAGUGUUCUGAUGGCCUCCACGUCUAACGAUGUUGUAUCAGAAAACCACUACAAAAUUCACAAGCCAUGACAUAAUUAGUAACGAUAGCUAAUAUUAAUUAACAAAUAUUAACCAUACUAACAAUUUAAAUUUGUGUUAGUAAAUGUACCCUGUUCC
rnacentral:lncRNA from 1 species